UUACGGGAGGCAGCAGUCGGGAAUUUUGGGCAAUGGGCGAAAGCCUGACCCAGCAACGCCGCGUGAAGGAUGAAAUCCCUCGGGAUGUAAACUUCGCAAGAAUGGGAAGAAUUAGUAGGGGUUAAUACCCUCUAUGAUGACGGUACCAUUUGUAAGCUCCGGCUAACUCCGUGCCAGCAGCCGCGGUAAUACGGGGGGAGCAAGCGUUGUUCGGAUUUACUGGGCGUAAAGGGCGCGUAGGCGGCCAGCGCAAGUCAGUUGUGAAAUCUCCGGGCUUAACUCGGAAAGGUCAACUGAUACUGCGCGGCUAGAGUGCGGAAGGGGCAACUGGAAUUCUCGGUGUAGCGGUGAAAUGCGUAGAUAUCGAGAGGAACACCUGCGGCGAAGGCGGGUUGCUGGGCCGACACUGACGCUGAUGCGCGAAAGCCAGGGGAGCGAACGGGAUUAGAUACCCCGGUAGC
rnacentral:rRNA from 1 species